CCAACGGGCGUGAAUAUUGUUGGCUAACUCAAGAAGACGUGGUCCGCUUCCUCCUCAACUCCAUCGGCGUCUUCUCCCCACUACCAGCAUUCACAAUCGAGUCGCUCAACAUCAUUGACACCGAUAUCAUGACUAUCUACUACGACAACCCUGCAUCCUCUGCCUUGGACUCCAUUUCUCGCCUCCUCACCGAACAAAAAUCAAUUGGAGUUGUCGAUGAAUGCAACAAAUUGAUAGGAGAAAUAUCGCCUUACACUCUUGCUUGUUGCAAUGAGGCAGUUGUUGGAGCAAUCACAACCCUUUCUG
rnacentral:misc_RNA from 1 species